rnacentral:rRNA from 1 species
CCUACGGGUGGCAGCAGUAGGGAAUAUUGCUCAAUGGGGGAAACCCUGAAGCAGCAACGCCGCGUGGAGGAUGAAGGUUUUCGGAGUGUAAACUCCUUUUGUUAGAGAAGAUAAUGACGGUAUUUAACGAAUAAGCACCGGCUAACACAGUGAGAGUAGCCGCGGUAAGAAGGAGGGUGCAAGCGGUACCCGGAAUCACUGGGCGUAAAGAGCGCGUAGGGGGGAUAGCAGGUCAGAUGGUAAAUUCUAUGGCUUAACCAUAGAACUGCCUUUGAAACUGUUAUUCUAGAGUGUGGGAGAGGUAGGUGGAAUUCUUGGUGUAGGGGUAAAAUCCAUAGAGAUCAAGAGGAAUCCUCAUUGCGAAGGCAGCCUACUAGAACAUAACUGACGCUGAUGCGCGAAAGCGUGGGGAGCAAACAGGAUUAGAUACCCUGGUAGUC